rnacentral:rRNA from 1 species
AGAGUUUGAUCCUGGCUCAGAUUGAACGCUGGCGGAAUGCUUUACACAUGCAAGUCGAACGAUGAACCCUAGCUUGCUAGGGGGAUUAGUGGCGAACGGGUGAGUAAUAUAUCGGAACGUGCCUUGUAAUGGGGGAUAACUAGUCGAAAGAUUAGCUAAUACCGCAUACGCCCUGAGGGGGAAAGUAGGGGAUCUUCGGGCCUUACGUUAUAAGAGCGGCCGAUAUCUGAUUAGCUAGUUGGUGGGGUAAUGGCCUACCAAGGCAUCGAUCAGUAGCUGGUCUGAGAGGACGACCAGCCACACUGGAACUGAGACACGGUCCAGACUCCUACGGGAGGCAGCAGUGGGGAAUUUUGGACAAUGGGCGAAAGCCUGAUCCAGCCAUUCCGCGUGAGUGAAGAAGGCCUUCGGGUUGUAAAGCUCUUUCGCAAGGGAAGAAAACUUACACAAUAACACUGUGUGAGGAUGACGGUACCUUGAUAAGAAGCACCGGCUAACUACGUGCCAGCAGCCGCGGUAAUACGUAGGGUGCGAGCGUUAAUCGGAAUUACUGGGCGUAAAGCGUGCGCAGGCGGUUUGGCAAGUCAGAUGUGAAAUCCCCGAGCUCAACUUGGGAACUGCGUUUGAAACUGCCAGACUAGAAUAUGUCAGAGGGGGGUAGAAUUCCACGUGUAGCAGUGAAAUGCGUAGAGAUGUGGAGGAAUACCAAUGGCGAAGGCAGCCCCCUGGGAUAAUAUUGACGCUCAUGCACGAAAGCGUGGGGAGCAACAGGAUUAGAUACCCUGGUAGUCCACGCCCUAAACGAUGUCUACUAGUUGUUGGUGGAGUAAAAUCCAUGAGUAACGCAGCUAACGCGUGAAGUAGACCGCCUGGGGAGUACGGUCCGCAAGAUUAAAACUCAAAGGAAUUGACGG